rnacentral:misc_RNA from 1 species
AGCAGCCGCGGUAAUUCCAGCUCCAAUAGCGUAUAUUAAAGUUGUUGCAGUUAAAGAGCUCGUAGUUGAAUUUCGGGAUUGACACAUCGGUCGUGCCUUAAGGGGUAUGAACUGGUGUAGUCAAUUUCUCACCUUCUGGAGAACCGCGAUGCCCUUAAUUGGGUGUCGCGGGGAACCAGGACCUUUACUUUGAAAAAAUUAGAGUGUUUAAAGCAGGCAUUUUGCUUGAAUACAUUAGCAUGGAAUAAUAAAAUAGGACGGCAUGAUUCUAUUUUGUUGGUUUCUAGGAUCACCGUAAUGAUUAAUAGGGAUAGUUGGGGGCAUUAGUAUUCAAUUGUCAGAGGUGAAAUUCUUGGAUUUAUUGAAGACUAACUACUGCGAAAGCAUUUGCCAAGGAUGUUUUCAUUAAUCAAGAACGAAAGUUAGGGGAUCGAAGACGAUCAGAUACCGUCGUAGUCUUAACCAUAAACUAUGCCGACUAGGAAUCAGACGAUGUUAAUUUUUUAAUGACUCGUUUGGC